rnacentral:rRNA from 1 species
AGGACGAACGCUGGCGGCGUGCUUAACACAUGCAAGUGGAGCGACGAACCAGGGCUUGCCCUGGGGCAGAGCCGCGAACGGGUGAGUAACACGUGGGUUACCUGCCUCGAUGACCGGGACAACCCGAGGAAACUCGGGCUAAUACCGGAUGUGCCCGCAAGGGGAAAGGAAGCUUCGGCCUCCGCAUCGAGAUGGGCCCGCGGCCCAUUAGCUAGUUGGUGAGGUAACGGCUUACCAAGGCUUCGAUGGGUAGCUGGUCUGAGAGGACGAUCAGCCACACUGGGACUGAGACACGGCCCAGACUCCUACGGGAGGCAGCAGUGGGGAAUCUUGCGCAAUGCGCGAAAGCGUGACGCAGCAACGCCGCGUGGGGGAAGAAGGCUUUCGGGUUGUAAACCCCUUUCAGUUGGACGAAGCUUCGCCGGUGAAUAGCCGGCUGGAGUGACGGUACCUUCACAAGAAGCACCGGCUAACUACGUGCCAGCAGCCGCGGU